AUUGAACGCUGGCGGCAUGCCUAACACAUGCAAGUUGAACGGCAGCAUGAUAUGGGAAACCAUAUUGAUGGCGAGUAGCGAACGGGUGAGUAACGCGUAGGAAUAUACCUUAAAGACGGGGACAACUUGGGGAAACUCAAGCUAAUACCGGAUGAGCUCGAGAGAGGAAAGCUGGGGACCUUAGGGCCUGGCGCUGUAAGAAUAGCCUGCGUCCGAUUAGCUAGUUGGUAGGGUAAAGGCCUACCAAGGCGAUGAUCGGGAGCUGGUCUGAGAGGAUGGUCAGCCACACUGGGACUGAGAACGCCCCAGACUCCUACGGGAGGCAGCAGUGGGGAAUAUUGGACAAUGGGGGGAACCCUGAUCCAGCAAUGCCGCGUGUGUGAAGAAGGCCUGAGGGUUGUAAAGCACUUUCGGUGGGGAGGAGGAUUGAUAGGUUAAGAGCUAAUUAAUUGGACGUUACCCACAGAAGAAGCACCGGCUAACUCCGUGCCAGCCGCCGCGGUAA
rnacentral:rRNA from 1 species